GAUGAAGAACGUAGCGAAAUGCGAUACUUGGUGUGAAUUGCAGAAUCCCGUGAACCAUCGAGUCUUUGAACGCAAGUUGCGCCCGAAGCCAUCAGGUUGAGGGCACGUCUGCCUAGGCGUCACAUAUCGUUGCCCAAUGCCUAUUGCAGUGCAAUAGGAAUUUCUAGGGCGAAUGAUGGCUUCCCGUGAGCGUUGUUGCCUCGCGGUUGGUUGAAAAUCGAGUCCUUGGUAGGGUGUGCCAUGGUAGAUGGUGGUCGAGUUAGAACGAUACCGAUCAUGUGCAUGCUCCCCAAAAUAUGGCCUCUAUGACCCACACGCGUCUUUUGACGCUUAUGACGAGACCUCAGGUCAGGCGGGGCUACCCGCUGAAUUUAAGCAUAUCAAUAAGCGGAGGA
rnacentral:misc_RNA from 1 species